rnacentral:pre_miRNA from 1 species
GUCCCUUCCUGUGCAGGUGGGGAUUAGUAGCAAUGCUGUGUACCAGAAGGUAUUGCACUUGUCCCGGCCUGUAUAGGA